rnacentral:rRNA from 1 species
AUUGAACGCUGGCGGCAGGCUUAACACAUGCAAGUCGAACGAGUGGCGGACGGGUGAGUAAUGCUUGGGAAACUAGCUUAUGGAGGGGGAUAACUACGGGAAACUGUAGCUAAUACCGCGUACCAUAGGAUGUGCCCACGUGGGGUUGGGUAGUUGGUGCGGUAACGGCUGACCAAGCCGACGAUCUCUAGCUGGUCUGAGAGGAUGACGAGCAACGCUGGGACUGAGACACGGCCCGGAUUCCUACGGGAGGCAGCGGUGGGGAAUAUUGCGCAAGGGGGGAAACCUGACGCAGCCAUGCCGCGGGGAUGAAGAGGGCCUUCGGGUUGUAAAGUUCUUUCGGUAGCGAGGCGUUAACUACAGAAGAAGCACCGGCUAACUCCGUGCCAGCAGCCGCGGUAAUAC